rnacentral:tRNA from 1 species
GACCCUCAUGGUGUAUAAUCAACCAGUUAUCGAGGCCUCUCACGCCGGUAACAGGGGUUCGAGUCCCCUUGGGGUCACCA